GUCUUUGUAGUAUAUUCAAUACACUGGUCUUGUAAACCAGAAAAGGAGUACAACCAACCUCCCUAAGGCU
rnacentral:tRNA from 1 species